AUUGAACGCUGGCGGCAGGCCUAACACAUGCAAGUCGAGCGGAUGACGGGAGCUUGCUCCUUGAUUCAGCGGCGGACGGGUGAGUAAUGCCUAGGAAUCUGCCUGGUAGUGGGGGACAACGUUUCGAAAGGAACGCUAAUACCGCAUACGUCCUACGGGAGAAAGCAGGGGACCUUCGGGCCUUGCGCUAUCAGAUGAGCCUAGGUCGGAUUAGCUAGUUGGUGGGGUAAUGGCUCACCAAGGCGACGAUCCGUAACUGGUCUGAGAGGAUGAUCAGUCACACUGGGACUGAGACACGGUCCAGACUCCUACGGGAUGCAGCAGUGGGGAAUAUUGGACAAUGGGCGAAAGCCUGAUCCAGCCAUGCCGCGUGUGUGAAGAAGGUCUUCGGAUUGUAAAGCACUUUAAGUUGGGAGGAAGGGCAGUAAGUUAAUACCUUGCUGUUUUGACGUUACCGACAGAAUAAGCACCGGCUAACUCUGUGCCAGCCGCCGCUGUAA
rnacentral:rRNA from 1 species